CGCCCGCCCGCAGCGGGGCCCGAGGGCACGCGUCCCCGUCCCGCAGCCGCAGGAGGCUCUUGGCCCCAUUGUACCGAUGGCGAAACUGAGGCUCGCGUCGAUCGAGCCGGGGGCCCGGGAUCCAGCAGCCGGAACGUGGCGCUUCCCGUUGUGGGUCGCCUCUGCCCUCCGAGGGGCCCUGGGACGCGGGGCCCGAGCACCCCAGCACCCCGGCGCCUCCGGCCUGCCACCCUCCCGGAAGGCCCUGCGCAGCCGGCGGCGGGCGGCCCUCGGGGGACCCCAACGCCCGCCUGUGCCUGCGGAGACGGUUACGGGGAUCGCCUGUUCCUGUACUUCUGUGUUCCUAUUGUUAGCGUUUUACAGCUACGUUGGCGUGGAGAGGGAUGUUUUAAUGUCACACCGCACGACACUUUCUUUAACCUGGAAAUUCAUCUUUCCUUCCUGACUUUCAAAGCACUGAAGACAUUUCUGCGGGUCCCCACGAAAGCAUCGUGGGCCCCAGGCUCGGUGCUUCCGGUGGCUCAGGUGACGGCCCUGCCUCAGUUUACCCAAAGGAAGCUCAGGCUCUCGGCAGGAGGAGCUUUCAGAAGCUGGCUUUGCCUCGGCGACGGGACACUUCCUUGGAAAACCGUAUGGCAGUUCACACAUGUCUCAUUUUCAGAAAGACCCGGCUGCGAAUCCCUGAUCUUCCACUUACUGAUGACCCACGGCUGGGCACGUCCCUUGAUUUCCCAGAUCCGCAGUCUUUUCUGCAAAAUGAGGAUGAUGAUACCUAUCACCCGUGGGUCCUUGUGAGCGUUAAAUGAGUUUUUGUUUUUGCUUUGGGGCCUAACGCAGUUUCCUGGAUGGAAGCAGAAGACGUGAAACCCCUGGGUCAGAGACAAAGGACCGUAUUGCCCACAACACUGCGUGCAGCCUGAACAUCAGCACUUUUGCAUCCGUCCUUGGCUGUGUGGACACACAGUGUGUCACAGUAAAGGAACUCCGCGCUUAGGGAAACCAGAUCCUUCAUGGCGGAGAACGUGAAGCAGGUGCCAGAGCGUUGCGCCCGUCCCCCAAAUCGGGAAGCGACUUCCUACCUGUGACACUAGACCAGGUUGGAGAAGCAGCUUUUAGGGCUGGUGGCUGAAGUGCACCCCUGACCGUGAACCCCAGAACAGGACCGCUAACGGGAGCAGAGCCCCAGAGGCAGCUUCCUCCCAGUAGGAAGGAGAACAAUGCCCAGGGUCAGCGUCUGGCCUGCGUCACCCGGCGCCGAGGACGGAAGGUACCGUUUCUGCUGGAUUCCGUUUGCACCUGACGCAGGUGGGUACCGGGUGUAAACACAGAAACAACAAACAACCUGCCUCAUCCGUGAAUGAACAGGGUGGCGGGCUGCACGACGGGAUGCCGCCUUCGAGCCACCUUUGCUUUAGGACAACAGCGGGUCACUGGCUGUCACAUCUCUUGGGGACACCGUGUCCUGCCUCCCGAUUCCUACAAUUCCUAGUCUACGCGGGCGUCUGGAGAGGCCGCCGACCGAGCGUUUCGGACACGCUCCAGCAGAGGGAGUAACAGGCUCACACCAGGCCAGCUCCAGCCGCUCCGGGCCUCGAGGGCCCCCUUGUGUUGCUCACAGGGUCGGGUUUGCAGCGGUUUGUGCCCGGCUCUGCUCUAGUCCCUCUCCUUUCGGAACUCGGAGGAAGUGGGGGUGCUCCCGCAGUCGUGCAGCUUGGGUUAAGACCCUGCUCCGUCAUUUGCUGAGGCCUUGGCAGUGGCACUGGUGACUGCGAACUCCUCCCUGAGGCUCCUGGUGCAAGAAGGGAGGCCUCAAGAUGGGCCAGCAGAAUCCCCACAUUUCACAGAGGGGGAAACUGAGGCUCAGCCUAGACCAGAACCCGGGUCCCUGGGCACGUGAGCCCGUGCUCCCUCUGCUGUGCCCACCCGCCCCCUGCAAAUACGCAUAAACCUUCAGAGCAGCCAGACGCGCCGGGUGGUCGCAGGGCCGUGGUGCCCACUCCCCUCGCAGGGGGUUCGGCCGUGUUGGGCGUGAGUCACAGGCCUGUCAGAGGGGGUCAGGAGGACAGCUCGGCCCGGGCCACGCAGGCCCCACGCGAUGGUGGCUCUCCUCGUGGCCUGGAGGCUUCCCGGGUCGCAGUUCUCCCCUGCGGGUAGGGGGUCCUGAGGUGUGGGCGCCUUACACAAUCCAGCCCAUCAGGCCCCCAGCAGGGCCUGGGGGUCCUUCAGCUGGUGGGGGUCGGGGCCUGCGCAGCGGGGAGCCUGCCUCUCCCCUCCCUCUGCCCCCCACUCGGUCGCACCCUCUCUGGCGCUCGCUCACUCUCAUUCCCAAAUAAAUGAGACCUUAAAGAAAGGGAAAAGCCCCCCGCCAAGGUCCUGACUCGUGGCAAUGAUGUAAAACACACGGAGCCUGGUGGGGACUGCCACCGCACGCCCCCCGUGAGGUAGAGGGUGACAUGUCUAAGAACAGAGUUUUUCUACACCCCGCCAUUGCGUGCAUUGGGGGGACCCCAUCUGUGCCCUAAACUUGCUGCAGGGUCUGCACCUGUGGAGGAGGGAGUGAUGGCACCGAGGGGAUCCAGCCAACCCCUGCCAGGAGGGCACAUGCUUCCGCGGAUGUUCCUACAGCUGCCCUAACAAAGUGCCACAAACCGAGGAGUCUAAACCCACAGGAAUGUGUUCGCCCACGGUUCUAGGCAUUAGAAACCCGAAAUCAAGAUGUUGACAGGCCACACCCUCUGACAGUGGGUUGAGCCUUCCUGGCUGCUCCUUGGCUUGGAGCCUCACCUUCCACUCUGGCCCGUCAUCAGCCACAUGCUGUUCUCCCUCCGGGCUCUCGGUGUCCCUUUUCUUUCUCUUCUUAUAAGGACACGGUUCCUGUUGGAUUAAGGGCCUCUCGGUGGCAAGAGCAUGACCUCGUCUUAGUAGCAUCUGCAAAGACUGUUUCCAAAUAAGGUCAAAUUCGCAGGUACCCCAGACUAGGACUUCAGCCUUCCUUGUGUGGGAACACAGCUCAACCCACAACGCUUAUUAAAAGCUUUUCAA